CGCAGCCCACCCCUCCGGACCCCACCCCACCCCGGGCUUGGACUCUUCCUGGGGGUUCCCCCCCCGCCCAAGACCGCCGGGCAUGCCCGUCCGGGGGAGGGAGAAAGUAUGAGGAGCUCGCCCCCUGCCGGACGGUGCGACCCACCCCGGGCCGGCACUCCGCGCGACAAAUGCCUCCCGCGCCCCGCGGGGCAGCCCCCCUCGCCAGUUUGGGGUUCGGUGACAGUCACAAGAAAUGAGCAUAUGCUGAUAAUUGAAGCUGUCAGAGAAGGCUCGCGCGGCUCAGUAUUUCAUUGACGAAUUCCACCUGGGACUUCUAGAGCAUGUUGCUGAGUAGGACAAAGAGAGAGAGAAGGCCCCUCAGGAAGGAGCCCACAUUCAAGGCAGUGGGGGAUUGGAGUGUCUGGCUGGUCAUUCAAUCUGAGCCAGGAGGGUUUCUCAGCACCAGCAUCCGAAGGGACGGGCCUGAGUCAGCGUGAAUCUGAAGAGCCACGGGAAGCCAGCAAGACACCUGGAGACUAAGUCGCUGAAAUGAAAUUAGAGUAGACAGUGAUUCCCGCCACAGGCCUAAGCAUUUCCUAACACUUUCAAGGGAAAAUGAGAAUCAGAUAGUGCUCUGGUCGUGAGUCAGACAUCUCCGUCAAAAUGCCAGUAGCCCCAAGGUCAAAUAAUAUCAAGGGGCACAGUUCAAAGCAAGGCAGCGGCGUCCACUGAUGAUGUACUGUGUGCCAGGCACUGUGCUGGACUCUGGAAACACGAGGCACCUGGGGUUCACACACACAAACCCACAAGGCCCUUCCUCAGGAGCUCAGGGUCACAGAGAAACAUGGCCUGAGCCACACCAGGGCACCUAUGACUUUGUACCGUAUGAGCUGGUACCUCCCCCCAAAUUACAUUUACUCCUAACUCUC